GCUGUGCUGGCAGCAGUGGGUCAGGGUGUUUGGCUGUCAACCAGAAGAUUGGUGGUUUGAGCCCACCCAGGGACAGCU